AGUGAACGCUGGCGGUAGGCCUAACACAUGCAAGUCGAACGGCAGCACAGUAAGAGCUUGCUCUUACGGGUGCCGAGUGCAGUACGGGUGUGGAAUACAUCGGAAUCUACUUUUUCGUGGGGGAUAACGUAGGGAAACUUACGCUAAUACCGCAUACGACCUACGGGUGAAAGCAGGGGAUCUUCGGACCUUGCGCGAUUGAAUGAGCCGAUGUCGGAUUAGCUAGUUGGCGGGGUAGAGGCCCACCAAGGCGACGAUCCGUAGCUGGUCUGAGAGGAUGAUCAGCCACACUGGAACUGAGACACGGUCCAGACUCCUACGGGAGGCAGCAGUGGGGAAUAUUGGACAAUGGGCGCAAGCCUGAUCCAGCCAUACCGCGUGGGUGAAGAAGGCCUUCGGGUUGUAAAGCCCUUUUGUUGGGAAAGAAAAGCAGCAGGUUAAUACCCCGCUGUUCUGACGGUACCCAAAGAAUAAGCACCGGCUAACUUCGUG
rnacentral:rRNA from 1 species